rnacentral:rRNA from 1 species
ACGCUCGACACCUACGGAGGCAGCAGUUGGGAAUAUUGGACAAUGGAGGAAACUCUGAUCCAGUGACGCCGCGUGAAGGAAGAAGGUCUUCGGAUUGUAAACUUAUUUUGUCAGGGAAGAAAAAUGGCUGUACCUGAAGAAAAAGCACCGGCUAACUACGUGCCAGCAGCCGCGGUAAUCUGAGCGGGCUGGCAAGGC